rnacentral:lncRNA from 1 species
GCCAGCUGAAGAGGAUGCUAGAAUACCAAACUUCUGUUCUUCACAGCAUGGAUUACUUGAAAAGCCUUGUAAGGUCUACCACUUCAGCAACAGCACAAUUAAAUUUUGAUCAGAUAAAUACCUUAUCCAGAUCUGAUGUUGCAGGAGACCGCAUUGAUAUUUCUGUGUUCAGCGAUUGCUGUAGUUACAGUUGUGUACACUGUCUAAGAUGUGUCAUGGAAAUCACCCUUAUAGGAUGAGAGACAGUUUCUUAUCUUGCCUAUUGAUUUGGAAAGUGUCUUAAGUGUGCUGGUUGUCUAUAUUGCUACUGAAACGCUGUUUGGAGAAGACAAAGGUCAUCCUGAAACUGUUGAAAAGGAAAUAUUGAGUCAUAUUAGAGAGAGAGUAUGAUCUGCCAAGGUGGAUAAACAAGUCAGUGAAACACUUACUGGAAUAUAGUACUUACAAUGCAGAAAGGACGUUCAGAAAUUAGGAGUUACUGGGGAGGAAAAAAAGUCGUCAAAAUGUCACGAGAAUUAGAGAUUCUCAUUAUUAAGGUUGAAGAGUUAGAUUCUGUUACUCUAUUUCAUUUGCCCAAAGUUAAUUUGGGUGGAAAUUUAACCAUAGUGUGUAAGUAGCUACAUAAGGAAAAAACAUUCUUGAUGGUACAUUACUUUUUCAUCUGUUAAAAAAAGGCAUAAUAAGGUCUAAUGAAUAACAACCAAUGCUGUCUAAGGUUAAAUGAGAGGUAGUACUGAAGUUUUG